UACGGGGGGGGCAAGCGUUGUUCGGAAUUACUGGGCGUAAAGGGCUCGUAGGCGGUUUGUCGCGUCGGGAGUGAAAACACGGGGCUUAACCCCGUGCCUGCUUCCGAUACGGGCAGACUAGAGGUAUGCAGGGGAGAACGGAAUUCCUGGUGUAGCGGUGAAAUGCGCAGAUAUCAGGAGGAACACCAGCGGCGAAGGCGGCGCUCUGGGCCGGUACUGACGCUGAGGAGCGAAAGCGUGGGUAGCAAACAGG
rnacentral:rRNA from 1 species